AUACGGAGGGUGCAAGCGUUAUCCGGAAUCAUUGGGUUUAAAGGGUCCGUAGGCGGGCCGAUAAGUCAGGGGUGAAAUCCCACAGCUUAGCUGUGGAACUGCCCUUGAUACUGUUGGUCUUGAGUUACAGUGAAGUGGUUAGAACGUGUAGUGUAGCGGUGAAAUGCAUAGAUAUUACACAGAAUACCGAUUGCGAAGGCAGAUCACUAACUGUUGACUGACGCUAAUGGACGAAAGCGUGGGGAGUGAACAGGAUUAGAAACCCCAGUAGUCC
rnacentral:rRNA from 1 species